CAAAUAAAAGCCUUUGGGUAAAAAUUGGGCCGGGGACGGGGGCUAUAUACAGGUGAGCGACCUCAGGGCCAUCAUGGCCCUCUUGUAUAAAUAUGAUGCUCAAAUUAAGAUUUGUCAAUAUUGUAAUUUCCAAUAAGCAUUAUUUGUAAAGAUAUUACCCAAUUGAACAUUUCAUGUAAAUAAAAGGAGGUAAUUAGAAAAUUAUUUUCUAUAAAUUCUAAGUCAGAUUUUCCAAUAAGAAAUGAAUGUAGUAAUUUAUUGAUUAAAUAGAAUGUGCACAAAUAUUUGCAGUACACAUUUUACAUAUUCUUCGAUGUUUUUUACAUAACUAUAAACAUAUAUAAAUUUUUUGAAAGUGUGGUAUACACACAAUCUUCUCCAAAUCCCUCCAGAGGCGUGCACGUCGCGGAGAAGGCACACGGAAGGUCAAGGUCAAGUCAUCUCAAGUACCAGAGGUGAUUGGUUGAUCUGUCGUGACUAACUCUGGAGGGCUGUCACUAACGAAGGCCGUUUUUGUUGUCGUCAGUCAGGAAGUUGAUGCCUUGACAGUAUUGUCGUCUCCUUUACCACCAACGAACGAAGAAUGGGCUACCAGGAAGAUUCUGCCCCGAUGUGACUACCGUAGUGGACCGGCAAGGAUGCUAUAAUCUAGGACAUAUGGUUAUUCCGGCGCCGAGUUUAAAAAAACCUAAAUACACACAAUAUACACAUAGUAGCAAUAUCAAUCACAAAACAUACAGCAUCUUUAAGUAUUUCAUCAUAUACAUUUUUAUGCCCCCCUUCGAAGAAGAGGGGGUAUAUUGUUAUGCUAAUGUCAGUCUGUCUGUCUGUCUGUCUUUCGGUCCGUCGGUCUGUCCGUCGGUAGACCACAUGGUUUCCGCUGAUUAUCUUUAAAAGUAUUAAUCACAAAGUCUUCAUAUUUUACAUAGUGAUUGGUCAUAACUAGUAGAAGACCCUUAUUGAUUUUGGGGUCACAAGGUCAAGGUCACAGGGACCUUAAAUGUCAAAAUGGUUUCCGCUGAUUAUCUUAAAAAGUAUGUAUCACAAAGUCUUCAUAUUUCACACAGUGAUUGGUCAUAACAGGCAGAUGACCCCUAUUGAUUUUGGGGUCACUAGGUCAAAGGUCAAGGUCAAAGGGGACUUAAAUGUCAAAAUGGUUUCCUCUGAUUAUCUUGAAAAGUAUGUAUCACAAAGUCUUCAUAUUUCACAUAGUGAUUGGACAUCACUAGUAGAUGACCCCUAUUGAUUUUGGGGUCACUAGGUCAAAGGUCAAGGUCACAGCGACCAUAAAAUGUCAAAAUGGUUUCCGCUGAUUAUCUUGAAAAGUAUUUAUCACAAAGUCUUCAUAUUUCACAUAGUGAUUGGUCUUAACUAGUAGAUGACUCCUAUUGAUUUUGGGGUCACUAGGUCAAAGGUCAAGGUCACAGGGAUCUUAAAUGUCAAAAUGGUUUCCGCUGAUUAUCUUGAAAAGUAUGUACCACAAAGUCUUCAUAUUUCACACAGUGAUUGGUCAUAACUAGUAGAUGACCCCUAUUGAUUUUAGGGUCACUAGGUCAAAGGUCAAGGUCACAGGGGCUUUAAAUGUCCAAAUGGUUUCCGCUGAUUAUCUUGAAAAGUAUGUAUCACAAAGUCUUCAUAUUUUACAUAGUGAUAAGUCUUAACUAGUAGAUGAGCCCUUUUGAUUUUGGGGUCACUAGGUCAAAGGUCAAGGUCACAGGGGCCUUAAAUGUCAAAAUGGUUUCUGCUGAUUAUCUUGAAAAGUAUUCAUCACAAAGUCUUCAUAUUUCACCUAGUUAUUGGUCAUAAGUAGUAGAUGACCUCUAUUGAUUUAGGGGUCAUUAGCCUCCGUGGUCGAGGGGUUAGAGUCGAUGACUUCUAAUCCAGUUACCUCUCUGGCGUGGGUUCGAUCCACGGGAGAUGCUUUGGUAGUUUAGCGCGGAGGAAGGUAGUCUAGUACUGGUGUAACUCUCCAGGAACGAUGGUUAGGAAACCUCCCGCCUAUAUGACUGAAAUACUGUUGGGUAAAGGCGUAAAAUGAAACAAACAAACAAACAAAGUCAAAGGUCAAUGUCACAUGGGCCUUAAAUGUCAAAAUGGUUUUCGUUGAUUUUUUUCCAUAAUUGAACACUUCCAUGUACCCAUUUUUUGGCAAGUUUCUGUAAUAAAAUUACCAAUUAUGUGAGUCAAUGGCUAGAAAGUGGGGUAUAUGUGUCGUUCGACAUUCUUGUUUUGACAUGGUACCUGUUACCUUUUUCAGUUAUCUAAAUGUUAAAGUCAUAAUGUUAAGUGGGUAAUUAUUUCCCCAACUUAAUUUUAAUUAAUAAUUGUUAUUAUCUUAAAACAGUUGUUUAAGAAUUUUAUAUAUUGACAUACAUGUAUUGAGAACUUUUGAAUUAAGAAUAUUUCUUUUUAUACAUUAUAUUUGUAAAUAUAAUUUCUUGGACUGUCUAAAAUAAAUUAUAUUUUGACUUA